CCGGGGGCAAGAGGUUCGACUCGAGCGACGCGAGAGAACGUUGCGUCAGCAACGGCCCGCAGGGCGAGUCACGCAGUGGCGAGUCAUCCUCUCCUGGCCUGCU
rnacentral:sRNA from 1 species